UUGCUGACAGGGAUCACAGCUUGGUUGGAAAUUGGCUAAUGUCUAGUCAUGGACCUGGCAGAUGUUGGUGGGUGGAAACCGUUGGAGUUCGCUUCCAGAAGCCAGUGGAUACCAGAAGGCUAAAAGCAGGCUGAUAUUUGUGGAUGUAAGCUGGUUGGGAUUCACCUUCAGAAGCUGCUCAACAGAAACCGGUGGAUAUUUGUGGGUUGGAGCCAGGGCAUGAAUGCAAACGAAUGGCAAGUGAAAGAUAAGUCCAUUGGCAUCUUUCACAGAUGUCAGAUGGAGUAUGCUUUUGCGUGUGAAUGAGAGGCUGUGAAUGUGCUCAAGGUGAAUAAUGUGUGCAUGUGCAUGAAUGUGAGGUGUUAAAGACAACUCGUGGAUACUCAUGAACAGAUGAAACCUGUGGAAGCUGGCAAGCUGAAUUUAGUGGGUGAAGUUGCCAGGCAGAAGACAGUGAAGCUGCCUGGAUGAUGCUAUUGGAUGGUAGCCAUCUCCUUCACUGUCUCUGUUUUUUUCCGUCCAGGGAUGUCUGAAGUCAGUGGAGUUUUUGAAAGAUCACACAUUCAAGCAGCAAAGAGGGCUGUAAGGCUGUCUGAAGUGGGUGAGGCUUUUUCAAGACCCUUCACCCCCUGUGAAAGCAAUGAAGAGAACUGUAGAAUUUAAGUACAAGUCAGCUUGUAUUUCUAAAUGUAUGCUUUUCUGAAUACACCUAUCUGUAGUAUCCAGUCUACCUUCUUCUUCGAUGGCAGGUAAAAUACCUGAGUUUAUGGUGUGACCCUCAUAUCAAUACACAUGAAAACAUUUUUAAUAACAAAAAAAAAUGUUGCUGAUGUGCCCCAUAAUUGUCAGAACAAGGUUGUGCUGAUGCCUCUUCAGCUGUUGCCAUUAGCUACAGACUGUUAUAGUGGUUUAAUUUCCUGAAAUGGGAAUGUUUGCGUAUGUUGAAUUGCUGUGUAUUUUUAGCAAGGGGUCUUUCCUUUGGCAGUGGC